UCAGUUCGGACUGCAGUCUGCAACUCGACUGCACGAAGCUGGAAUCGCUAGUAAUCGCGGAUCAGCACGCCGCGGUGAAUACGUUCCCGGGCCUUGUACACACCGCCCGUCACACCAUGGAAGUCUGCAAUGCCCGAAGCCGGUGGCCUAACCACUUAUGUGGAAGGAGCCGUCUAAGGCAGGGCAGAUGACUGGGGUGAAGUCGUAACAAGGUAUC
rnacentral:rRNA from 1 species